rnacentral:lncRNA from 1 species
AGAUACUUUCAACAGCAGAGUCGACGCUACCCAGAUUCACUUUGGACGUGUGAAGGAGGCAGCAACCACGUGGAACUCGUGUCUCGAACACAGUGCAGUCUUCACACCUCAGCGCUGGGCAUCGGGAGGCAGCCUUCAUGUGAUGCUACCCUAUGAGGCCAGCAAGGGCUCCCGGGAAAUGAAAACGGCAGCAGCCGGCACCCAGUCCCAGCAGCAGACAGGAGCAGGUUAAUCCACACCAUGGACACUGUCUAUGCAAAGCGGAUAUUUGGUCCCAGAUGGCUCAACCCUUGGCUAUUACACAUCCUUAAAGCUGACACUGGCAUAGCACAUGGGUAUGUAACACUUAAAGUAUUGCUGCAACCCUUCAGGAAGGAUGUCCUGGAAAGCUGCACACCCCCAGGCGUCAGCCUUCUGACAUCGCAUGAGGAGGGGCUAAAUGACAUUUGGAGACCAUGUGUGCUGAUGUGGUUUGGAUGUGUGUCCCUCCAAAACGUAUGUGAAAUGUGAUCCCCAGUGUUAGAGGGGAGGCCUGGUGGGAGGUACUAGAUCACAGAAGUGAAUCAGUCAUGUCAUGAACAGUUCAGCACCAACCCCUUGAUAUGAGUUAGUUCUCACUCAGUCAGUUCACCUGAGCUCUGGGUGUUUAAACGUCUGGGAACCCCCUCCUCUCCUGCUCCCACUCUUGCCAUGUGAUGCUUUGGCCCCCUUCACCCACCACCACAAUUGGAAGCUUCCUGAGGCCUCACCAGAAGCAGACGCCAGCACCAUACUUCCUGUACAGCCUGCAGAACUGGUUUCAUCUGGAGCCUCUCUGGUGGGUAGUGCCUCCUUGGCUCACUCUUGCCUGUGAGUUUCUCAGACUUUGCUUGAUCCUGGUGACCCUGGCAGUUCUGAAGAGCACUUGUCAGCAGGCAUCCAUUUGACGGCACAGAAGACGGAUGUGACAGGACCCUGGCUCACAAAGAGCUGCUCAGGCCCAGGCUCUGCAGCAGGGCUGUGCCCAAAGCCCCAGCUCCUCCCCGUUGUCCACAUGGCUGGGCCCUGCAUGGGAGGAAAGAGGGGGCAUGAAGACAAACAGCGAGGAAAUUGGGGUUUCGGAGGGCAGGCCUGCCCAGAAUGCAUUCCUAUAAAUUCUGAAGGAAGAGGGUGGGAGAGACCCACCAUUCUGCUUUACAUAUGCAAGGAAUACGUGAGGAGCCUGAAUUCCUAGGAAAGGUGAGACAUCGGGGCAGAUACCGGCCCAUUCGCCAUGCUCCUUUCUCGCUGUGGGUGAAGAGAAGACGGUGAUGGACACUCUGGCUUCCGCUGCAGGAGCUCCACAGCCAGGGAACCCCUCUGCUCCCUUCGCCGUGUGAAAUCGCAUCUAGCUCCUCCACCGCAGAGGCACCGGGGCAGCACUGGAAACACAGCCCGAGGGUAACUCAAAAACCCAGGGCCGCUUUCAUAUACGCCUGAGGUUUACAACCACCCUGUAAAAUGCAGGGGGUGGCUCCUUCCACUGAAGUUACUUAUUCCUACAGAUGAGUCAAAACGGCACUGAAACAACAUAUCUUCCCUUCUUUCGUUCCCCUGAAAAAAAUCCCAAACCAUGGUCCUUUUCCCACUUACUCUGCUUAUCCUCCCAAGCCAGGAGCUGAAAUGGCCCUUUUUUCAAGCCUGAUUUGCUUAAUCUUCAAUUUUAGCCCAUGGAGUCAUUCAUGGGAGCUGAUGCAACCACAUCAACACCCCCUGAGCCGGGGUUUUUCAACCACAGCACCCCAACAUUCUUUGUGUCUCCCCAGUUCUAGGAGCAGUCAGUGCAGAUAGGAGCAGCACAGCAAUGACACCACACCCACAAAACCGGGCAAACAUAAUGAAUAAGAGAACUAAAAGUGAACGCGGCAGCAGCUUUACAUCUCAGUGCCAAUUUGAGAUUGGUAUUGCC